rnacentral:rRNA from 1 species
CCUACGGGUGGCAGCAGUAGGGAAUGUUGCGCAAUGGGCGAAAGCCUGACGCAGCAACGCCGCGUGAUUGAGACGACCUUCGGGGUGUAAAGGUCUGUAAGUGGGGACGAAACUUGACGGUACCCACAGAGGAAGCACCGGCUAACUCCGUGCCAGCAGCCGCGGGAAUACGGGGGGUGCAAGCGUUGUUCGGAAUCAUUGGGCGUAAAGAGUUCGUAGGCGGCACGUAAAGUCUGGUGUUAAAGACAGAGGCUCAACUUCUGUACGGCACUGGAUACUUGCGAGCUAGAAUGCGGUAGAGGUAAAUGGAAUUCCUGGUGUAGCGGUGAAAUGCUUAGAUAUCAGGAGGAACAUCGGUGGCGUAGGCGCUUUACUGGGCCGUAAUUGACGCUGAGGAACGAAAGCCAGGGUAGCAAAUAGGAUGAGAUACCCUUGUAGUC